UGCAACUUCAGGAUUGAAUUUUUUCUUGGCGGUUCGCUUGAUUGAACUUUGGAGGUGAUUGCAUCCAGGAUUCAUUGGACUUGGGCUGAGUGACGGAGCUUCGAGUCUAACUCUAGUUUCGCGAGUUGAUCAUGCCAAAGGUUAAGGCCAAGAAAAUAACGACCGCAGGUGCGAGGAAGGGAGAUGACACACCGAAGAGGAGGCGGGUCGGCCGAGAGGUCCACGGGCGACGUCAACCCCCGCAAGUGUGGAUCUGGGGCUGGGAGGCGGCAACAACGGGCCAGGAAGGAGCGGACCUGUGGUGUGGAUCAUAGGGGACUCGAUAGUGUUUUGGGCACAUCGCAGGGCGAAGAACACCGGCGAGGCUGACCUUGGACUUGGAACGUCGGUCCGCUGGUUGGGGGAAAAGGGGCUACGAAUUGAAGGGGUAAGCGAUUGGUUAGAUAAGAUGGGUCGGAGUGAACCAAAGCCUUCAGUAGUAGUAUUGCAUGUAGGAACGAAUGACAUUGAGGCACUGUCCAAGAAGAAGCUGGCUAGUUUGACGU